GACGAACGCUGGCGGCGUGCUUAACACAUGCAAGUCGAACGGAAAGGCCCUGCUUUUGUGGGGUGCUCGAGUGGCGAACGGGUGAGUAACACGUGAGUAACCUGCCCUUGACUUUGGGAUAACUUCAGGAAACUGGGGCUAAUACCGGAUAGGAGCUCCUGCUGCAUGGUGGGGGUUGGAAAGUUUCGGCGGUUGGGGAUGGACUCGCGGCUUAUCAGCUUGUUGGUGGGGUAGUGGCUUACCAAGGCUUUGACGGGUAGCCGGCCUGAGAGGGUGACCGGCCACAUUGGGACUGAGAUACGGCCCAGACUCUUACGGGAGGCAGAGGGGGGGAAUAUGGAACAGGGGGCGGAAGCCUGAGGCAGCAAGGCGGGGUGGGGGAGGCCGGCCUUCGGGUGGGAAACCGCUUUCGCUUGUAACGAAGCGUGAGUGACGGUAAUGGGUAAAGAAGCACCGGCUAACUACGG
rnacentral:rRNA from 1 species